UACUCAGAGCUUGCUCUGAGUGGAAAGUGGCGAACGGGUGAGGAACACGUGAGGAACCUGCCCCCGAAGACCGGGACAACAUCGGGAAACCGGUGCUAAUACCGGAUGUCCUCGCCGAAGCUCAUGCUUUGGUGAGGAAAUGGAUUCCGCUUCGGGACGGCCUCGCGGCCUAUCAGCUUGUUGGUGGGGUAAUGGCCUACCAAGGCAACGACGGGUAGCUGGUCUGAGAGGAUGAUCAGUCACACUGGGACUGAGACACGGCCCAGACUCC
rnacentral:rRNA from 1 species